rnacentral:ncRNA from 1 species
GCAGAUGCAGAGAAAUUUUACUAGUAAACAGUAGUUGGACUAGGGUUAAUUAGUCCUAAGGUAUAGGUUAACUCCGUUAAUUGGUUUAGUAAUAAUUCAAAUAUUAAUAAACAUAAUUACAACGAAAGGGAAAAAGGUAAAUAUUCAUUUAUUGUGAUGUGGAUAAAUAGUAACAUAAAUGAACUUGUAGACGUUAGCAUGAGCCCCAGGAAGAGUUUUCUUUUCUUUUUAACAGUUUUAGUUUAAUUACUAUUAGACCAUGGAAUCAAGUUAUUUGGAGAUAUGGUUUAAAGACUGGUAGAGCAAAAUAAUUUUAUUUUGUCUGGUGCACUCAUGACAACCCUUGAAAAUGCAGGGGAAUUAUAUUUUUACACGCAGCCGUACCCAUAACCGCAGCAGGUCUCCAAGGUGAACAGCCUCUAGU